rnacentral:tRNA from 11 species
AGUGGCCCAGUGGGUAAAACAUCCGCCUGGGUAUCCAGAGGAUGCGGGUUCAAA